AGGAACUUUGAUGACUCCAAAUGGACAGAAAACAUGGUGCACGGCUAAGCCAUCAUCAGACCAAGCAGCUCUUCUGGAAAACAUAAACUACGCAUGUUCCAAGUGGAUUGCCAAAUUAUACAGAAAGGUGUCCUUGUUUCUAUCCAAUACUCUCAUCAACCAUGCUUCCGUUGCCAUGAACCUUACUACCAGUCCAAGGGAAGAAACGUUUGGAACUGUGAUUUCAAAGGCUCCGGUCUCGUUGUCUUAACCGAUCCAAGUUAUUCAAACUGCAUUUAUGCGUAGCAAGCGACGAUGAAUUCAUGGAUUUAAGCAAAACCAC